GGGGAUUUGAAAAUUCAAGUAGAACCUCUACUAUAUGAGGUUAAAAAGGGUUCUCCUUUAUUAAGAGUAGUGAAAAAUUAGUGUGCAUAAGUGCAUCAAUGAACUUCAUUUGGUAGCACUAUCAGUCAAUUUAUGUAAUCUUAGACUCUGUUGGAUAUACUAACAGUGACACAAACUGGCUUCAAGGUAAAUUGUGUAUGUGGGCACAAAUUUCUAAAGUUUG
rnacentral:misc_RNA from 1 species